rnacentral:rRNA from 1 species
UACGUAUGGUUCGAGCUUUAAUCGGAAUUACUGGGCGUAAAGCGUGCGCAGGCGGUUAUAUAAGACAGAUGUGAAAUCCCCGGGCUCAACCUGGGCACUGCAUUUGUGACUGUAUAGCUAGAGUACGGUAGAGGGGGAUGGAAUUCCGCGUGUAGCAGUGAAAUGCGUAGAUAUGCGGAGGAACACCGAUGGCGAAGGCAAUCCCCUGGACCUGUACUGACGCCCAUGCACGACAGCGGGGGGAGAAAACAGGAUUAGAUAACAGCGUAGUCC